GAAGCUUCUGAGCUCAGACUGAAGUUCCCAAAGAAAUAUCAACAUGCAAUAUGAUUUAUCAGGAUUUCCAAAUUAGUUUCCAACUGGUGGUUACUAAAAGACUCCAGUUUGUGGUUGAGCUUGUGGGUUGUCUGUUCACAUUAAAGACCCUGUUUCUUUUUCUAUCCUAUGCCUUAUAAUUACUAUGAUUUUCAACAUAUAUUUAAAACACCCACGUGGAUGUAAAAUAAUGUGAUGGAGUAAUACAAUAAUUCUUUGGGAGAAAUAGCACUCUUCAGAAUCCUUUUGGUAGGAGGUAAACAAACCAUAAUUAAAACCUAAUUAGAACAUGGAUUAAGUUAUUAUUUAUUGUGAGAAACAAUAAAUAGCAUUGAUCGGGCACGAAUUAUUCACCAGACAUUAUGUUAGUUGCUUUACGUCUCAAUGAAUCCUUUGGCUAAUCCUACACGGUCGGUACAUUUUUGUAUUCCCAUUUUAAAGAUGAGGAAACUAAGGUUCAGAGAGUUCGAGUGACCUGGCCAACGUGAGAAAUAACAGAGCCAGGAUUCUAGCAGUCAUACUUUUGCUGUUCGUUCUUAGGAUAAAAAUUUUCCCUUUUUAGAGAACAACUGGGAUGCGAGGAGGCCCCAGGUAUAAGCAUUUGGGGGUAUCUUCGUGAACAGUUCCUGCUAGGAGACAUGUGUUUGAAGAUGCUAAACAUGGAAGGGAGACCACACCAUGAUGGUGACAGCAAAGAAAAAGACCAGAAAAUGAACUAAUGACUGCCUGAAUAAGAAAUUCCAUGGGAAAUCACGAGAAAGAGCUAGAGUCAUAUAUACAAAAUACCAUUUGGCACCAUAAGGAAUGGGUUUGGAACAACUGGAUAUACUUCCACCCCAGGAAUUUCCAGGACAUCUGUUACGAUGAAGAAGCGAAGCGGUCCUGGGUUUCCACAGAGCAGUUAAAGAGAAGGGACAAGAAAUGUGAUGAGAAUUACGUUUAUACCCGAGUGGUGGAGACGCAGAUACCGGAGGCUUUAUGUUUGAAGAGAUUCAAUUCUAUUUGCUAUUCGGAAACUUUUCUGAUAAUAAUUCAACUUGGAAUAAUGUGGCAAGUUUAUAUCGGCAGCCGCCUCUUUGUAGCUGAAAAGACUGGAAAUAGUUCGU
ensembl:lncRNA